GAUGAAGAACGUAGCGAAGUGCGAUAAGUAAUGUGAAUUGCAGAAUUCAGUGAAUCAUCGAAUCUUUGAACGCACAUUGCGCCCGCCAGUAUUCUGGCGGGCAUGCCUGUUCGAGCGUCAUUUCAACCAUCAAGCCCCCGGCUUGUGUUGGGGACCUGCGGCUGCCGCAGGCCCUGAAAAGCAGUGGCGGGCUCGCUGUCACACCGAGCGUAGUAGCAUACAUCUCGCUCUGGGCGUGCUGCGGGUUCCGGCCGUUAAACCACCUUCAUAACCCAAGGUUGACCUCGGAUCAGGUAGGAAGACCCGCUGAACUUAAGCAUAUCAAUAAGCGGAGGA
rnacentral:misc_RNA from 1 species